rnacentral:rRNA from 1 species
AACGAGAAGUACGUAGCAAUACGUAUUGUAAAGUGGCGCACGGGUGAGUAACACGUGGGUAAUCUGCCCUUGAGUUUGGGAUAACCCCGCGAAAGCGGGGCUAAUACCGAAUAAGACCACGGGGACCAAAGUCCCUGAGGUAAAAGACGGCCUCUAUUUAUAAGCUGUCACUUGAGGAUGAGCCCGCGGCCCAUUAGCUAGUUGGUAGGGUAACGGCCUACCAAGGCUAUGAUGGGUAGCUGGUCUGAGAGGACGAUCAGCCACACUGGAACUGAGACACGGUCCAGACUCCUACGGGAGGCAGCAGUGGGGAAUAUUGCGCAAUGGGCGAAAGCCUGACGCAGCAACGCCGCGUGGGGGAUGAAGGUUCUCGGAUUGUAAACCCCUUUCGACCGGAACGAAUCUCCUCUUGAUAAAUAAUCAGGAGGAUCGACGGUACCGGGAGAAGAAGCCACGGCUAACUCUGUGCCAGCAGCCGCGGUAAGACAGAGGUGGCGAGCGUUGUUCGGAUUUAUUGGGCGUAAAGCGAACGCAGGUGGUUUGGUAAGUCAGGGGUGAAAGGCCACAGCUUAACUGUGACACUGCCUUUGAUACUGCCUUUCUUGAGUGCAUGAGGGGGA